rnacentral:rRNA from 1 species
CGGACGGGUGAGUAACGCGUGAGGAUCUGCCCUUAGGACGGGGACAACAGCUGGAAACGGCUGCUAAUACCCGAUGUGCCGAGAGGUGAAACUAUUUGGCCUGAGGAUGAGCUCGCGUCUGAUUAGCUAGUUGGAGUGGUAACGGCACACCAAGGCGACGAUCAGUAGCUGGUCUGAGAGGAUGAUCAGCCACACUGGGACUGAGACACGGCCCAGACUCCUACGGGAGGCAGCAGUGGGGAAUUUUCCGCAAUGGGCGAAAGCCUGACGGAGCAAGACCGCGUGCGGGAGGAAGGUCUAUUGAUUGUAAACCGCUUUUGAUAGGGAAGAAGAUCUGACGGUACCUAUCGAAUCAGCAUCGGCUAACUCCGUGCCAGCAGCCGCGGUAAUACGGGGGAUGCAAGCGUUAUCCGGAAUUAUUGGGCGUAAAGCGUCCGUAGGUGGUUUUAAAAGUCUGUUGUCAAAUCGCGAGGCUUAACCUCGUACAGGCAGUGGAAACUAUAAGACUAGAGUGCGGUAGGGGUAGAGGGAAUUUCCAGUGUAGCGGUGGAAUGCGUAGAUAUUGGAAAGAACACCGGUGGCGAAGGCGCUCUACUGGGCCUGCACUGACACUGAGGGACGAAAGCUAGGGGAGCGAAAGGGAUUAGAUACCCCAGUAGUCCUAGCCGUAAA